GGUCCAUGAUGAAAUCUUUGACUUAUUCUAGAGAUGUGUUGUCUUAAAAGUCAUGUUCAAUAUAGUUAUGCUUAGGACA
rnacentral:snoRNA from 1 species